GGUAGAAGCCCGCCUCGCAGGGGUCGCAGUCGCCGGCCGUUGUAGCGCUGUUGAUGUACCCGGCGUUGCAACGGCAAUCCGACAACUUCGUCAUGCCCGGGCGG
rnacentral:SRP_RNA from 13 species